rnacentral:rRNA from 1 species
GACGAACCGUCCUAACGUUGUUCGGAAUCACUGGGCUUAAAGGGCGCGUAGGCGGGCAGCCAAGUCCGGGGUGAAAUCUUUCGGCUUAACCGGAAAAGUGCCUUGGAUACUGGCUGUCUCGAGGGAGAUAGGGGUAUGUGGAACUUCCGGUGGAGCGGUGAAAUGCGUUGAUAUCGGAAGGAACGCCGGUGGCGAAAGCGACGUACUGGAUCUCUUCUGACGCUGAGGCGCGAAAGCCAGGGGAGCGAACGGG